rnacentral:piRNA from 1 species
AAGAUUUUAGAAUAUAGGGAUUUA